rnacentral:rRNA from 1 species
CCCUUAGAUGUUCUGGGCCGCACGCGCGCUACACUGAUGCAUUCAACGAGCACCCGCUGGGCCGAGAGGUCCGGCUAAUCUUUGAGCGUGCAUCGUGCUGGGGAUAGAUGAUUGCAAUUAUUCAUCUUCAACGAGGAAUUCCUAGUAAACGCAAGUCAUCAGCUUGCAUUGAUUACGUCCCUGCCCUUUGUACACACCGCCCGUCGCACCUACCGAUUGAAUGGUCCGGUGAAAUUCUCGGACGCGGACUUGCGAUGUUAAUUCGGAGCUUGACUGUGAAAGUUAAUUAAACCUUACCAUUUAGAGGAAGGUGAAGUCGUAACA